UUCGGUCUCUAGCGGCGGACGGGUGAGUAACACGUGGGUAACCUGCCUUAGUGAGGGGGAUAGCCUCCCGAAAGGGAGAUUAAUACCGCAUAACAUUGCGAUAUCGCAUGAUAUUGUAAUUAAAGGAGUAAUCCGCACUAACAUGGACCCGCGGCGCAUUAGCUAGUUGGUGAGGUAACGGCUCACCAAGGCGACGAUGCGUAGCCAGCCUGAGAGGGUGAACGGCCACGUUGGAACUGAUACACGGUCCAGACUCCUACGGGAGGCGGCACUGUGGAAUAUUGCACAAUGGGCGAAAGCCUGAUGCAGCAACGCCGCGUGAGUGAUGAAGGCCUUCGGGUUGUAAAGCUCUGUCUUCUGGGACGAUAAUGACGGUACCAGAGGAGGAAGCCACGGCUAACUACGUGCCAGCAGCCGCGGUAAUACGUAGGUGGCAAGCGUUGUCCGGAUUUACUGGGCGUAAAGGAUGCGUAGGCGGAUACUUAAGUCAGAUGUGAAAAUCCCGGGCUUAACUUGGGAACUGCAUUUGAAACUGGGUAUCUAGAGUGCGGGAGAGGAAAGUGGAAUUCCUAGUGUAGCGGUGAAAUGCGUAGAGAUUAGGAAGAACACCAGUGGCGAAUGCGACUUUCUGGACCGUAACUGACGCUGAUGCAUGAAAGCGUGGGGAGCAAACAGGAUUGGAUACCCUGGUAGCCCACGCCGUAAACAUGAAUACUAGGUGUUGGGGGGUUAUCAUGACCUCCGUGCCGCAGUUAACACCAUAAGUAUUCCGCCUGGGGAGUACGGUCGCAAGAUUAAAACUCCAAGGAAUUGACCGGGGCCCGCACAAGCAGCGGAGCAUGUGGUCUAAUUUGAAGCAACGCGAUGAUCCUUACGUAGGCUUGACAUCUCCUGAAUAACCGGUAAUGCGGGACGCCAUUCGGGGCAGGAAGACAGGUGGUGCAUGGUCGUAGUCAGCUCGUGUCGUGAGAUGAUGGGUUAAGUCCCGCAACGAGCGCAAUCUUAGUCGUUAGUUGCUACCAAUAAGUCGAGCACUCUAGCGAGACUGCCGCGGUUAACUCGCAGGAAGGUGGGGAUGACGUCAAAUCAUCAUGCCCCUUAUGUGUAGGGUUACACACGUGAUACAAUGGUCGGUACAAAAAGACGCAAAACCGUGAGGUUGAGCAAAACUUUAAAACCGAUCCCAGUUCGGAUCGUAGGCAGCAACUCGCUUACAUGAAGCUGGAGUUGCUAGUAAUCGCAAAUCAGAAUGUUGCGGUGAAUACGUUCCCGGGCCUUGUACACACCGCCCGUCACACCAUGAGAGUUGCCAACACCCGAAGUCCGUGAGCUAACC
rnacentral:rRNA from 1 species